GCACAUAUUUCAAUCUACGAAACGUACUCAGCUAGUGAGUUUGCAAGGCAUCUCUACUUGCAACAAAUUUUCAGGAUGGCACCGGUUUCGAGAUAUGCGCCGUAAAACUCGCGGUAAAAUGCACUCUUCCAUUAUUUCUUAUUUUGUUUUAGAAAAGCAAACCCUUAUGCACUUCAGCAUACAAGUAACUGGAACGCCACUGCAUUUCGUCUAGAAUCUUGAAAAUAGUACCUCGAAACAUGUAUAGUCUUGGCAAUUCUCUAUACAUCGACACGCUUAGCGAACUUACUGGCUACAAUCAGUAAAUUGAACCGUGCCGUAAAGUAGUUUAUUCAACAGUAAAUUAGGGCAGUUAUGGUAAUUCUUCAGUUUAGCAUUUGCAUAUCGCGUGGAAGUAAUGGCCGCAUCUUCCGAUAAUUUACCUUAUGGCCUAGAAUUAUGCUACCAGCCAAAGAAUUUUCUUUUUCGUUUCAUGCAGCUAAAGAAACACCUGGUAUUAAAAGCUUAAGGUGCAAAUUUGUGACCUCUGUCGAUUUUUCUUGUAAGGGUGGUGAAGCGACAGUCUUCACUAAGUGGUACCUGUCUCUAAUAUAUUUUAGGAAAAGUAAUGUUACGUUGGAGGUUGCCAUGCAGGAACAAGGAAAGGCCGCCGAUAUAAAGAUCAAUCCUGGAGGACAACCACCUGAACACGUGUACCCAAAAUACGAAGUUUUGUAUGCUACACAACACUGCAUUAUUACCGGCAACGUGCCACAGCCAACGCUUAGAACAUACUGCACCUACUGGGUCAAGAAGAGCGAUGUGAAGAAUCGGCACUGGGCUUGUGACUUCGUAUUAAACCAUUACUGCCGAAGCCCAGAAAUUGUCAUUAAGGAUACAAACAGUUGUUGGCCUGAAAGCAAUGCAUAAAGAUAAAAAUUAACUACACCAUUACAAUCGACGAUGAUGUUCAAUACUAGCGAAAAGCCGAAAGCGCCUAGAUAACAAUUUGCUUUAUUAAAGAAUGGUAAGACGAA